CCUACGGGUGGCAGCAGUGGGGAAUAUUGCGCAAUGGGCGAAAGCCUGACGCAGCGACGCCGCGUGAGGGAUGAAGGUCUUCGGAUCGUAAACCUCUGUCAGCAGGGAAGAACGGUCACUGUGCUAAUCAGCAGUGAAUUGACGGUAACUGCAAAGGAAGCACCGGCUAACUCCGUGCCAGCAGCCGCGGUAAUACGGAGGGUGCGAGCGUUAAUCGGAAUUACUGGGCGUAAAGCGCUCGUAGGCGGUAUGGCAAGUCAAGGGUGAAAUCCCCGCGCUCAACGUGGGAACUGCCUUUGAAACUGGCAGACUGGAGUGUGUGAGAGGAUAGUGGAAUUCCAGGUGUAGGAGUGAAAUCCGUAGAUAUCUGGAGGAACAUCAGUGGUGAAGGUGACUAUCUGGCACAUAACUGACGCUGAGGAGCGAAAGCGUGGGUAGCAAACAGGAUUAGAUACCCGAGUAGUC
rnacentral:rRNA from 1 species